rnacentral:rRNA from 1 species
GACGAGCGCUGGCGGCGUGCCUAAUACAUGCAAGUCGAACGCAUUUUCUUUCACCGUAGCUUGCUACACCGACAGAAAAUGAGUGGCGAACGGGUGAGUAACACGUGGGUAACCUGCCCAUCAGCGGGGGAUAACACUUGGAAACAGGUGCUAAUACCGCAUAAUUCCAUUUACCGCAUGGUAGAUGGAUGAAAGGCGCUUUUGCGUCACUGAUGGAUGGACCCGCGGUGCAUUAGCUAGUUGGUGGGGUAACGGCCUACCAAGGCUGCGAUGCAUAGCCGACCUGAGAGGGUGAUCGGCCACACUGGGACUGAGACACGGCCCAGACUCCUACGGGAGGCAGCAGUAGGGAAUCUUCGGCAAUGGACGCAAGUCUGACCGAGCAACGCCGCGUGAGUGAAGAAGGGUUUCGGAUCGUAAAACUCUGUUGUUAGAGAAGAACAAGGAUGAGAGUGGAAAGUUCAUCCCUUGACGGUAUCUAACCAGAAAGCCACGGCUAACUACGUG